UACGUAGGGUGCAAGCGUUAUCCGGAUUUAUUGGGCGUAAAGCGCUCGUAGGUGGUUUGGUAAGUUUUCUGUUAAAUCUCCGGGCUCAACUCGGAAAUCGCAGAGAAUACUGCCUUACUUGAGGGUGGCAGGGGCCAGUGGAAUUCUCGGUGUAGGAGUGAAAUCCGUUGAUAUCGAGAGGAACACCAAUGGCGAAGGCAGCUGGCUAGGCCACAUCUGACACUGAGGAGCGAAAGCGUGGGGAGCGAACGGG
rnacentral:rRNA from 1 species